AAGUCGUAACAAGGUUUCCGUAGGUGAACCUGCGGAAGGAUCAUUAACACGUAUCCAACGUAAAAAACCCCCCUGUGAACAUUCAAACCUGCUCUCGUAGCCCAGUGCGAUCCAGCAAUCCCGGUAAAUCAUUGUCGAACAGUAUUGAUUCGGGACUUCUGACAAAUGAGAAGUUACAGUUACGAUUGAGCGGAGAUAGCUGCAUGGCAUCCCGAAGCAGUCAGUGUCUGAAAGUGUCAUUGAUUGUCUAAGGAUCUCGCCUCAACGAUUGCCAGAGGUCGCUCACCCACGCCCCUUUACAACCCCAUUACCUCUGUGAGUCGCGGGAAACUAGCGGCUAAAAAACCUCGAACAACUGUUAACAAUGC
rnacentral:misc_RNA from 1 species